rnacentral:rRNA from 1 species
AUGAACGCUGGCGGCGUGCCUAAUACAUGCAAGUCGAGCGAACGGACGAGAAGCUUGCUUCUCUGAUGUUAGCGGCGGACGGGUGAGUAACACGUGGAUAACCUACCUAUAAGACUGGGAUAACUUCGGGAAACCGUAGCUAAUACCGGAUAAUAUUUUGAACCGCAUGGUUCAAAAGUGAAAGACGGUCUUGCUGUCACUUAUAGAUGGAUCCGCGCUGCAUUAUCUAGUUGGUAAGGUAACGGCUUACCAAGGCAACGAUGCAUAGCCGACCUGAGAGGGUGAUCGGCCACACUGGAACUGAGACACGGUCCAGACUCCUACGGGAGGCAGCAGUAGGGAAUCUUCCGCAAUGGGCGAAAGCCUGACGGAGCAACGCCGCGUGAGUGAUGAAGGUCUUCGGAUCGUAAAACUCUGUUAUUAGGGAAGAACAUAUGUGUAAGUAACUGUGCACAUCUUGACGGUACCUAAUCAGAAAGCCACGGCUAACUACGUG